rnacentral:rRNA from 1 species
CAUGGAACGAAUCUUCGGAGGAGGGAAAUGGUGACUGAGUGGCGGACGGGUGAGUAACGCGUGGGUAACCUGCCUCGUACAGGGGGACAACAGUUGGAAACGACUGCUAAUACCGCAUAAGCGCACGAUACUGCAUGGUAUUGUGUGAAAAACUGAGGUGGUACGAGAUGGACCCGCGUCUGAUUAGCUGGUUGGUGGGGUAACGGCCUACCAAGGCGACGAUCAGUAGCCGACCUGAGAGGGUGACCGGCCACAUUGGGACUGAGACACGGCCCAAACUCCUACGGGAGGCAGCAGUGGGGAAUAUUGCACAAUGGGGGAAACCCUGAUGCAGCGACGCCGCGUGAAGGAAGAAGUAUUUCGGUAUGUAAACUUCUAUCAGCAGGGAAGAAAAUGACGGUACCUGAGUAAGAAGCCCCGGCUAACUACGUGCCAGCAGCCGCGGUAAUACGUAGGGGGCAAGCGUUAUCCGGAUUUACUGGGUGUAAAGGGAGCGUAGACGGUAAUGUAAGUCUGAUGUGAAAGCCCGGGGCUCAACCCCGGGACUGCAUUGGAAACUAUGUAACUAGAGUACCGGAGAGGUAAGCGGAAUUCCUAGUGUAGCGGUGAAAUGCGUAGAUAUUAGGAGGAACACCAGUGGCGAAGGCGGCUUACUGGACGGAAACUGACGUUGAGGCUCGAAAGCGUGGGGAGCAAACAGGAUUAGAUACCCUGGUAGUCCACGCCGUAAACGAUGACUACUAGGUGUCGGGUGUCAAAGACAUUCGGUGCCGCAGCNAACGCAAUAAGUAGUCCACCUGGGGAGUACG